UAAGUACUCCCUCCGUCCGGAAAUACUUGUCAUCAAAAUGAAUAAAAGGGGAUGUAUCUAGACAUAUUUUACUUAUAGAUACAUCUCUUUUUAUCCAUUUUGAUGACAAGUAUUUUCGGACGGAGGGAGUAGUAA
rfam:Triticum aestivum genome assembly, contig: Triticum_aestivum_CS42_TGACv1_scaffold_148069_2BS